UCGCGCUUUUUAAAGGCGACUUUAAGGCUUCCCAUCACCACACACUGCACCUCGCCGGCGAAGGGGAGAUCCAUGGCACUCACCGCCAAUCAUCUCCUUCUUGGAUUCUUAGUUCUCCAUUUCCAAGCAUUUCCCCGGAGAAAUCCAUUGCAAAUCGUUCAAGGUUCUCCACUGUAUACCCAAUCACUUCACUCGGCCAAACCACCUGCUCGUACAAUUUGUCAAUCAAGAAAUUCUGAUGUCAACACUUCAGUGGACGUAAUUGGUUCUGAAAUUUGCCCAUUGACACAUGAUCAUCACAUGAAAGAAAAGGUAGCCAAUGCCACGUCCAUCGUUAGACAAGAUUUGUUAUAAUCUGAAACUACAACAAUAGUGGGGUAAAUAAUGUUGAUGAGACAAUGAAAGAACCAAUUUCUUCUAAAAUGAAGGUUGCUCAAGUUAUCAAUGGAGAAUCCCAUAAAGGGGAAGGUAUGAGUCUUGGUGCUAGUUUAUCAAAAAUUAGACACUGUUUUAAGUUUCGAUGUACUUGAACCUGAGAUUGUUAUUGUUUCGGAAGCGAUAAAUCUCAACUUGGAAAACAGUGGACUUGUCCAAUUUGGUUAUGAAAACUGUGGAAGUAGAGAUGUGUAUAAACUAUAAAGGUAUGUUAGAAUGAGUGAAUAACCAUAUCCUGUUUUUAACUUGACAAGCCUUCUCAAUGCUCACUAUGGUUUGAAUUUGGUAUUUUGCAAAUUUAGGGGUUUCCUAAUUCAUAGUUUGUAUAUGUGUUUCUUUAUUGUUUUUUCUGAGUCUAAUUCAAUUGCCUUAGCUGUUUCCUUUCUCUUUUUUCUUACCCAUUGCAUUGCAUCACUGUAACUCUACAGUGGACAUUGCUUGGCGACUUGUUAGUUGAUACUUGAUAACUAAACCAAUAAGAAGCUAUCUCAGCAGUGUCACUUUUCAUGGAGCGAUGUUUAAAGAAUUUUCACUACACAGUUGGUCAUUCUCACUAAGAACGGAGAGAGUUGUAGAUGUUAAUUCAAACUUGCUUGGUAAUAAUGCUUGGGUGUGAUGGAAAAACUUAGAGUUUAAGAAUAUUUGGAGUGCUAGGUUCACUAGAACCAUAGGUGCUGCUGUGCUUCUGUGGCUUAGAGAUGCAUUUUACAACUUGUGACUGUACUUUGUAUCUGUUGUUCGGGGUAAUUAUAUUUCAAAUUGUUCACAUUGUCCUGCGGAGCUCAAAGCUAGGAGCCUUGGACAGUCUCCACAAGCAUAAUACGGAGUAGAUUUUUUCCAUGUCACGCAUAGAAGGUUUUAGUAUAAGUAGUAAAAUGGAUGAUGCUUUGACAUCAGUAGUCAAUUUCUAUCUUGUUAGGUGCUUCCGGUAGUUGAUGGUGUUACUCACCUCUUCUUUUCUUUUGAGUUUCAUGAUUAAUUCUUAUAGUUCUUUGAAAUUGCUAUUCUGGUGGAAAUCGCUGUAAUUAUCUGGUAAUUAUGCAAUGUAAAAGAUGAACUUAAGGUUUUGAUAAGCGUUUGUGCAACGUCGAUUCAGUUCUUUUUCUUUUUUUUUUUGGCUCCAUUCAAUGAUGUCAACUGGGACAUCAUUUCUCAGUAGGUUCAAGUUCAAUAUUUUUCUCUUUCAUGCUCACUUUAUGCGGGACAGUUUCUUAAAUUGUCAUAGGCAGACUGUCAUUUUAAAGUUAGAAAGUUCAUUUGCGUCUAUGUUAUCCAUUCAGACAAUGAAUUUUGGCCCGAGCAGAUAGUGUCUCCAAGUGCGUAGACAGUGGGGUUUGAGACUUAAGAUCAUGUUCACUGGAAGAAAAGUUGUUUUCAGGACUGGAAUUCAACCCUAUUCUUGCGGUGCUGCUCUGAUACCUUGGAUUUAUGCUUGUUAUCGCACUCAUGGAAAUGUUGAUUUUUUUGCUUGUACCGCGUUCUAUCUAGACUCUAGUCUAUGGAAACAUUGAUUUAUGCUUUAACUGACGUAUUUUUAUCAUAACCUGAAAUCUUUUGUUGUUCAAGUUUGUUCUGGUUUUAGUUGGAGUAACAAAAUUGGUUUUUUAAGUUACUUGCUUCGAACAAGUUAGCAUUUUGUAACUGAAAAGAUUGUGGGACAUGCAAUGGAUUGCAGUAUACCAUACGCAAAGGCUUGGGGAAGGUGCAUUACAAAGUGGAAGUUACACAUUGAAAAGAUGAAACGCGAUGUUGGAAGAGAAGAUGCGGCCAUAGAUUCAGAACAUGGACUAUGGUGUUCUUCCUUAGCAUGGCCAUCACAAUGCCACCGACAAAGAAUCAGGAAAAUAAACAGGUAUUGCGCCUCGUGGUUUCAUGUGCUGCAUCAGAGACCAGGGAAAAAAAAAAUCCUCGGCAAUGGAUAUGGUGGUUCUUUUGAUGGUUUCAGCGGCGUGCUUUUGAAGCACUCUCUCGACAUGGGCCUUUUGUAACCAAGUGCUGGUCUUCUAUCUUUCCAAGACCUUUGUUGUUUCAUUUCUGGUUUCUUUAUUCAGCUGCCUUUUGUAGUUCAAUAUUUCCCACUUCUUCUUUCUUUUCUUUUGUCUUGGUUCAA